GACGAACGCUGGCGGCGUGCCUAAUACAUGCAAGUCGAGCGGAACUGGGGGAGCUUGCUCCUUCCAGUUUAGCGGCGGACGGGUGAGUAACACGUGGGCAACCUGCCCUGCAGAUCGGGAUAACUCCGGGAAACCGGUGCUAAUACCGAAUAGCUUGGCGCCUCUCCUGAGGCGCUACGGAAAGACGGUUUCGGCUGUCACCGCAGGCUGGGCCCGGGGCGCAUUAGCUAGUUGGUGGGGUAACGGCCCACCAAGGCGACGAUGCGUAGCCGACCUGAGAGGGUGACCGGCCACACUGGGACUGAGACACGGCCCAGACUCCUACGGGAGGCAGCAGUAGGGAAUCUUCCGCAAUGGACGCAAGUCUGACGGAGCAACGCCGCGUGAGUGACGAAGGUUUUCGGAUUGUAAAACUCUGUUGUGAGGGAAGAACACGUACCAACUAACUAUUGGUACCUUGACGGUACCUCGCCAGAAAGCCACGGCUAACUACGUGCCAGCCGCCGCCGUAA
rnacentral:rRNA from 1 species